AGGUGGCUUGGCACUGGCACAAGUCCUGUUUUUUUAUGUGAAGUACCUUGUUCUCUUUGGAGUUCCCAUACUUGUUAUCCGAAUGGAUGGACUCAGGCCUCCUCAUUUACCUCGCUGUGUAAGCACCAUGUACAGUUUUUCUGGAAUGUGGAGGAGCUUUGAUGUUGGACUGCAUAGGUUUCUUAUUAGCAAACAUAAAGGCUGAAUGGCCUCCGUCUGCUUCCCAGAAUGUAGGUGCUGUUAUAACAACAUAACAAUAUGGCAGUGAUUUACAGUGAGUAUAAGAAAAUGGGCUUUUGGUCAGCUCCUGUAGAGCAAUUUAUUCAGACAUCAAUCAAACUGGGUACAAGAAAUCUCACUUCCAGGUAAGCGUGCAUAAGAUUGCCGCCUUACACAUUUAAUUAGCUGAUGUUAUGUUGCUCAGUUUGACCCAAGCUGGCAAAAAAAUCUUGCUUUUGCUUGGUCUGGCCUGGCUCAGAGAUCCAUUUAAAUAGCU
rnacentral:lncRNA from 1 species